UACGUAGGGGGCAAGCGUUGUCCGGAUUUAUUGGGCGUAAAGCGCGUGUAGGCGGCCAUGCAGGUCCGUUGUGAAAACUCGAGGCUCAACCUCGAGACGUCGAUGGAAACCGUCUGGCUAGAGUCCGGAAGAGGAGAGUGGAAUUCCUGGUGUAGCGGUGAAAUGCGCAGAUAUCAGGAAGAACACCGAUGGCGAAGGCAGGUCUCUGGGCCACUACUGACGCUGAGAAGCGAAAGCAUGGGGAGCGAACAGG
rnacentral:rRNA from 1 species